rnacentral:rRNA from 1 species
AGUGAACGCUGGCGGCAGGCCUAACACAUGCAAGUCGAGCGGCAGCGCGGGGGCAACCCUGGCGGCGAGCGGCGGACGGGUGAGGAAUUCGUCGGAAUCUGCCUUUUUGUGGGGGAUAACGUAGGGAAACUUACGCUAAUACCGCAUACGUCCUACGGGAGAAAGUGGGGGACCGCAAGGCCUCACGCAGAAAGAUGAGCCGACGACCGAUUAGCUAGUUGGUGGGGUAAGGCCCACCAAGGCGACGAUCGGUAGCUGGUCUGAGAGGAUGAUCAGCCACACUGGGACUGAGACACGGCCCAGACUCCUACGGGAGGCAGCAGUGGGGAAUAUUGGACAAUGGGCGCAAGCCUGAUCCAGCCAUGCCGCGUGUGUGAAGAAGGCCUUCGGAUUGUAAAGCACUUUUGUCCGGAAAGAAAUCCCUGGAGCUAAUACCUUCGGGGGAUGACGGUACCGGAAGAAUAAGCACCGGCUAACUUCGUG